rnacentral:lncRNA from 1 species
GUGAUAUUAUCAGUGUUUAAACCCAUUUCCUGUCACCUCGGAGGAUGUCAGUUACUUGACAGGAAGUCAUACAGCAGGGCUGCCAGUGCAGUUGUUUAAACUUGUCAGUGAGUAGAGUGGUGGCCAGCUUUACUCUGGUCUAAAGCUUUUGCUUUUGGAGAAGGAAAUGGCAACCCACUCUAGUGUUCUUGCCUGGAGAAUCCCUGGGACGCAGGAGCCUGAUGGGCUGCCGUCUAUGGGGUCUCACAGAGUCAGACACGACUGAAACGACUUAACAACAACAACAAAUAGCCCUGCAUUAAAAAAAAAAAAAUACUCCUGGCCCUUUCCAGGGAAAAGAGAGACUUAGAGCAGCGAGCCUCAAAUUCUGGCAUGCACCAGAAUCACGUGCAGGGCUCUUUAAAAUCUUGACUGCUGGGCCCCAUCCCCAGAGGCUCUAAUUCCAUAGGUUUGGGGGAAUGGCCCAAGAAUGUGCAUGGAUCACUCUUUGAGAACCACCCAGCUUAGAAGAAUUACAAAACAUUUCUAAGAACCCAACCCUUCAAAGAGUUCACUUACAUUCUGAAGCCUCUUCCGUUAACUUGCCUGCUCAUAACCUGGGAUGUGCUGAACUUGGCUCCUGCUGGGUCACGAGAGCCAACUGUCAUCAUAUCCUCCCAAGUUCACAUUCAUAGACGUCACAUUGUGUCUCUGAUGACAGAAUUCACACCAUGGAAACUGGCAAACACUACAAACCGGGGUGUGUUUUUUUCACACAAUAAGCCACGUAUUAAACCACCAGUAUAUGACGCUCAAGACAAAGCACACAGAUUUCUCUGCUCAUUCCCCAUCCUCUCAGAAGACUUAAUCAGUAUCCAAGGACAUGUGGUUACUGCGUGGCCAAAACAGUGACAGGUUUCUAAUACCACAUUCUCAAUUGCAUCUCUUUUUUUUCUUCAGUUUUUCUUUAAAAAAAAAAAGGCAAAGCAAAAAAAAAAAAAAAAAAGCCAGUGUAGUAAUAAUUCUGGCCCACUCAUGCCCAAAGCUACCAGCCAUUUUAAAAAUCUACAUAAAAUCUGGAGGAAGGACAUAGUAUAGAGCCCUAGGAAUUUUGUUUCUGUUUCUUUCCAAGAAGACAACAGAAAUCAUAGGCACAGGGCCAACCUUGGUUUAAAAAAAUUUUUUAAAGAUAUAUAUAUAGAUUCCAAUUUAGGGAAUUUAAGCUCCAUAAAAGAAGGCAGAACAUUUUAAGUCCAAGAAGCAAUUUUCUUUUCUAUUAAAUAAAUGACUCAAAAUAUUGGGUUUUUCUAUGGAGCAAAGGGACAUAUCCCAUGGGUUUGAAGGAGAGGUGACUUGACCUACACUCUUCUCUGAAGACCUUCAUUCUUCAUGGAUCUCAGAGACUAAGUGGUCUACACUCCAACAAACCAAACUAACUACAUGAAUAUGUAUUUUAAAGAUCUUUAUAUACAAGUCAAUCACAUGUAGCAGACAGACUGCAAAAAUGACCUCAGUUCUUUACCUCUCCCUGAAUCUCUGCUCUUGACUGUAUAAUAGCACAGUGCCCACCUCUAAUCCUUGGACUCAGUCAUGUGGUUUUCUGAUUAAUUAAACACCAGCAGACAUUAUGGGAGAAAAGGCUUGAAAUGCCAUUGCAUGGCUUCCACUUCGUCUCUUGCUCCUGUCUCAUAGGUGAGCACGCCCUGGCUAGACAGACAUGUCGAACAGAUCCCAC